GAUGAACGCUGGCGGCGUGCCUAAUACAUGCAAGUAGAACGCUGAAGGAGGAGCUUGCUCUUCUGGAUGAGUUGCGAACGGGUGAGUAACGCGUAGGUAACCUGCCUGGUAGCGGGGGAUAACUAUUGGAAACGAUAGCUAAUACCGCAUGACAACAGUUAUUGUAUGAUAACUGUUUAAAAGGGGCAACUGCUCCACUACCAGAUGGACCUGCGUUGUAUUAGCUAGUUGGUGAGGUAACGGCUCACCAAGGCGACGAUACAUAGCCGACCUGAGAGGGGGAUCGGCCACACUGGGACUGAGACACGGCCCAGACUCCUACGGGAGGCAGCAGUAGGGAAUCUUCGGCAAUGGACGGAAGUCUGACCGAGCAACGCCGCGUGAGUGAAGAAGGUUUUCGGAUCGUAAAGCUCUGUUGUAAGAGAAGAACGAGUGUGAGAGUGGAAAGUUCACACUGUGACGGUAUCUUACCAGAAAGGGACGGCUAACUACGUG
rnacentral:rRNA from 1 species